UGGAGUGACUAUUGGAGCUAAUAUUAUCAGCACACUACUUUCAAGAACUGGGAUAGUUCUUCUCUCAGUGAAUUUAGUUGAUGUAUUCUUAUCUGAAUGCUCAGAGUUACGUGAGUGUUCACUGAUUAAAACUUUUGUAAGUGUUAUCGUUAUCUUUCAAAUGAUAGUGACUUGUGUGCAAAUUUUUAUUUCCUUCUCGCUCUGUGGGCUCACUUAUACUGUGCAUGGCAAUGAGAUCAGCUGGAUUUCUGCACUAAGUUGCUUGAUCAGAUCACAUUCUGAAGAUCCUUAUCAAGAUUUAUUGACUCAACCUGAAAUUUAUGAAGACUUAGCGCUUCAAGAUGUAGAUCCUGUUCACU